rnacentral:rRNA from 1 species
AUAUCAGUCAUGCAUAGCAUAUCAAUAAGCGGAGGAAAAGAAACUAACAAGGAUUCCCUUAGUAACGGCGAGUGGAGCGGGAAGAGCUCAAAUUUGAAAUCUUCAAGGUUCUACCUUGACGAAUUGUAGUUUAUAGAAGUGUUUUCUGUUAGUAGAGUGGCAAAAGUUCUUUGGAAUAGGACAGUCAUAGAGGGUGAGAAUCCCGUAUUUGGUCAUUCUCUUCCUAGCUUUGUGAUACACUUUCAACGAGUCGGAUUGUUUGGGAAUGCAGUCCAAAAUGGGUGGUAAAUUUCAUCUAAAGCUAAAUAUUGGCGAGAGACCGAUAGCGAACAAGUACCGUGAGGGAAAGAUGAAAAGAACUUUGAAAAGAGAGUUAAACAGUACGUGAAAUUGUCAAAAGGGAAGCGUUUGACACCAGUGUUGUUUUUCCGAAAAUCAAUUACGAAUGUUUUGUUUUUGAGGAGUUAUGACUUCAUCGGCUUGCUCCUUUCUUUAUGAAACUUUCUUAAUGCACUUUUCGGUUAACAAGUCAACAUCAAUUUCUUUUGUUGUAAAAGGGUAUGAGGAAGGUGGCUUUCUUUUCGGAGAAAGUGUUUAUAGCCUUGUGCCUCUGCAAUCGGAGAGAUUGAGGUCUGCAGCGUAGAUCCUUCGGGGUUAGAUACAUUUGUGCUAAGUUAUAGCUUUUCAUAGACAACUUGUUGACUAUGUUUAGUCUUGUAGCUUACUCGCUUAUGCUAUUUUACCUACGCUUAGGAUGUUGAUCUCUCACAGUCGAG